rnacentral:rRNA from 1 species
UACGAAGGGGGCUAGCGUUGUUCGGAAUUACUGGGCGUAAAGCGUGCGCAGGCGGUUUUGUAAGCCAGGUGUGAAAUCCCCGGGCUCAACCUGGGAAUGGCAUUUGGGACUGCAUCGCUGGAGUACGGUAGAGGGGGAUGGAAUUCCGCGUGUAGCAGUGAAAUGCGUAGAUAUGCGGAGGAACACCGAUGGCGAAGGCAAUCCCCUGGACCUGUACUGACGCUCAUGCACGAAAGCGUGGGGAGCAAACAGG